rnacentral:rRNA from 1 species
CCUACGGGAGGCAGCAGUGGGGAAUAUUGCACAAUGGGGGAAACCCUGAUGCAGCGACGCCGCGUGGGUGAAGAAGGGCCUCGGCGUGUAAAGCCCUUUCAGUAGGGAAGAAAAUGACGGUACCUGAAGAAGAAGCACCGGCUAACUCCGUGCCAGCAGCCGCGGUAAUACGUAGGGGGAAAGCGUUAGCCGGAUUCACUGGGCGUAGAGGGCGCGCAGGCGGCGAUGCAAGCCAGGUGUGAAAGCGCCGGGCUCAACCCGGGGACUGCACUUGGAACUGGUUGGCUGGAGUAAAGGAGGGGCAGGCGGAAUUCCUGGUGUAGCGGUGAAAUGCGUAGAGAUCGGGAGGAACACUCGUGGCGAAGGCGGCCUGCUGGA